GUCCACGCCGUAAACGAUGAACGCUAGCCGUUGGAUAGCUUGCUAUUCAGUGGCGCAGCUAACGCAUUAAGCGUUCCGCCUGGGGAGUACGGCCGCAAGGUUGAAACUCAAAGGAAUUGACGGGGGCCCGCACAAGCGGUGGAGCAUGUGGUUUAAUUCGACGCAACGCGCAGAACCUUACCAGGGUUUGACAUCCUGCGACCGCUCCUUAAUGGGAGUUUUCCCGCAAGGGACGCAGAGACAGGUGCUGCAUGGCUGUCGU
rnacentral:rRNA from 1 species